rnacentral:rRNA from 1 species
AGUGAACGCUGGCGGUAGGCCUAACACAUGCAAGUCGAACGGCAGCACAGUAAGAGCUUGCUCUUACGGGUGGCGAGUGGCGGACGGGUGAGGAAUACAUCGGAAUCUACUUUUUCGUGGGGGAUAUCGUAGGGAAACUUACGCUAAUACCGCAUACGACCUACGGGUGAAAGCAGGGGAUCUUCGUACCUUGCGCGAUUGAAUGCGCCGAUGUCGGAUUACCUAGUUGGCGGGGUAAAGGCCCACCAAGGCGACGAUCCGUAGCUGGUCUGAGAGGAUGAUCAGCCACACUGGAACUGAGACACGGUCCAGACUCCUACGGGAGGAAGCAGUGGGGAAUAUUGGACAAUGGGCGCAAGCAUGAUCCAGCCAUCCCGCGUGGGUGAAGAAGGCCUUCGGGUUCUAAAGCCCUUUUGUUGAGAAAGAAAAGCAGCGGGAUAAUACCCCGCUGUUCUGACGGUACCCAAAGAAUAAGCACCGGCUAACUUCGUG